UGGGGAAUCUUCCGCAAUGGGCGAAAGCCUGACGGAGCAACGCCGCGUGAAUGAAGAAGGCCUUCGGGUCGUAAAGUUCUGUCUUUUGGGAAGAAGGCCCGGGAUGUGAAAAAUGUCCUGGGAUGACGGUACCAAAGGAGGAAGCUCCGGCUAACUACGUGCCAGCAGCCGCGGUAAUACGUAGGGAGCGAGCGUUGUCCGGAAUUACUGGGCGUAAAGGGCGCGUAGGCGGGUAUUUAAGUCAGAUGUGAAAACUCCGGGCUCAACUUGGAGACUGCAUUUGAAACUGGAUAUCUUGAGGGCAGGAGAGGAAAGUGGAAUUCCUAGUGUAGCGGUGAAAUGCGUAGAUAUUAGGAGGAACACCAGUGGCGAAGGCGACUUUCUGGACUGUACCUGACGCUGAUGCGCGAAAGCGUGGGGAGCGAACGGG
rnacentral:rRNA from 2 species